UAAUACCGCAUACGAUCUACGGAAGAAANCGGGGGAUCCUUCGGGACCUCGCGCUAUAGGGGCGGCCGAUGGCAGAUUAGCUAGUUGGUGGGGUAAAGGCCUACCAAGGCGACGAUCUGUAGCUGGUCUGAGAGGACGACCAGCCACACUGGGACUGAGACACGGCCCAGACUCCUACGGGAGGCAGCAGUGGGGAAUUUUGGACAAUGGGGGAAACCCUGAUCCAGCAAUGCCGCGUGUGUGAAGAAGGCCUUCGGGUUGUAAAGCACUUUUGUCCGGAAAGAAAACCUUUGCACUAAUACUGUGGGGGGAUGACGGUACCGGAAGAAUAAGCACCGGCUAACUACGUGCCAGCAGCCGCGGUAAUACGUAGGGUGCGAGCGUUAAUCGGAAUUACUGGGCGUAAAGCGUGCGCAGGCGGUUCGUUAAGACAGAUGUGAAAUCCCCGGGCUUAACCUGGGAACUGCAUUUGUGACUG
rnacentral:rRNA from 1 species